UACAGAGGGGGCAAGCGUUGUUCGGAAUUACUGGGCGUAAAGGGCGCGUAGGUGGCCUUCUAAGUUGAGCGUGAAAUCCCUGGGCUCAACCCAGGAACUGCGUCCAAGACUGGGAGGCUUGAAUCCGGGAGAGGGAUGCGGAAUUCCAGGUGUAGCGGUGAAAUGCGUAGAUAUCUGGAGGAACACCGGUGGCGAAGGCGGCAUCCUGGACCGGUAUUGACACUGAGGCGCGAAAGCCAGGGGAGCAAACGGG
rnacentral:rRNA from 1 species